rnacentral:rRNA from 1 species
UACAGAGGUCUCAAGCGUUGUUCGGAUUCAUUGGGCGUAAAGAGCGCGUAGGCGGUCCGGUAAGUCAGCUGUGAAAGUCAAGGGCUCAACCCUUGAAAGCCGGUUGAUACUGUCGGGCUAGAGUCCGGAAGAGGCGAGUGGAAUUCCCGGUGUAGCGGUGAAAUGCGCAGAUAUCGGGAGGAACACCAAUGGCGAAGGCAGCUCGCUGGGACGGUACUGACGCUGAGGUGCGAAAGCGUGGGGAGCAAACAGGG